ACGAUCUGAAAAAAAUUUAGAAAGUGAGUGAAGAUAAAAUACAGUGAAAAAUUCAUUUUAAUUUGUAGAAACAAUAUGCAAGAAAAAUAGUACGUAGAGGCCACAAUAACUACUAUGUCCCAUCCCAUGUCAAGGACAUCAAUAUUAAUUAAGCUACUAAAUUCCUACGUGUAACAUACAAUCUAUUUCUUGUGCAGUUACAUGCAGUUUUCAAUCUGAAUCAUUGAUAUUAAAUUGGACGAAUAAGAUUAAAAACUGUGUCUUUUAUAUUAAAACAAUUUUAGUCGUUAAUUUUAGAUCGAAUGAUCACAAUUGAUUACAACGUCCUAUUGUAACGAUAGGAAACCUGUUUCCUUACACAUACAUAUACAAUAAAUUAUAUGCUUUUUUUGGGUACAACAAACCUAUAUUUGAUUUGACUUACGUAGAAAGUUAAUUUCUUCUUCACAUAUAAGAAGUUAUUGCUUCCNNN
rnacentral:lncRNA from 1 species